rnacentral:rRNA from 1 species
UAGGGAAUCUUCCACAAUGACGAAGUCUGAUGGAGCAACGCCGCGUGAGUGAUGAAGGGUUUCGGCUCGUAAAACUCUGUUGUUGGAGAAGAACGGGUGUCAGAGUAACUGUUGACAUCGUGACGGUAUCCAACCAGAAAGCCACGGCUAACUACGUGCCAGCAGCCGCGGUAAUACGUAGGUGGCAAGCNUUGUCCGGAUUUAUUGGGCGUAAAGCGAGCGCAGGCGGUUUUUUAGGUCUGAUGUGAAAGCCUUCGGCUUAACCGGAGAAGUGCAUCGGAAACCGGGAGACUUGAGUGCAGAAGAGGACAGUGGAACUUCAUGUGUAGCGGUGAAAUGCGUAGAUAUAUGGAAGAACACCAGUGGCGAAGGCGGCUGUCUGGUCUGCAAACUGACGCUGAGGCUCGAAAGCAUGGGUAGCGAACAGGAUUAGAUACCCCUGGUAGUCCAUGCCGU